rnacentral:rRNA from 1 species
GCCUCUCCCGAGGGGGGAGUUUUUAUUUAUUUUUUUUUUUUUUCUGCCCCGAGACGCAUGCGGCGUGCCUAAUACACGCAAGUCGAGCGAAUCGAUUGAGAACUUGCUGCUAUGAAGUUAGCGGCGGACGGGUGAGUAACACGUGGGUAACCUGCCCAUAAGACUGGGAUAACUCCGGGUAACCGGGGCUAAUGCCGGAUAACAUUUUGAACCGCAUCGUUCCAAAUUAGAAGGACGUUUCGGCCUUCACCUAUGGAAGGACCCCCGUCGCAAUAAGUUAGUGGGUAGGGUAAGGCUUCACAAGGCAGCGAAUCCUUAGCGGCCUGGAGAGGUGAUCCGCCCCCCUUGGAAUGGAGCCCCGGUCCGACUUCUUCCGGAGGCCACCAUAGGGAAUUUUUCGCAAUGGGGGGAAAUCUGGAGGAGCAACGCCGGGGGAGUGAUGAAGGCUUUUGGGUUUUAAAAGUUUGUUGUUAGGGAAGAACAAGUGUUAGUUGAAUAAGCUGGCACCUUGACGGUACCUAACCAGAAAGCCACGGCUAACUACGUGCCAGCAGCCGCGGUAAUACGUAGGUGGGUAGCGUUAUCCGGAAUUAUUGGGCGUAAAGCGCGCGCAGGCGGUUUCUUAAGUCUGAUGUGAAAGCCCACGGCUCAACCGUGGAGGGUCAUUGGAAACUGGGAGACUUGAGUGCAGAAGAGGAGAGUGGAAUUCCAUGUGUAGCGGUGAAAUGCGUAGAGAUAUGGAGGAACACCAGUGGCGAAGGCGCCUCUCUGGUCUGUAACUGACGCUGAGGUGCGAAAAGAGCGAUGGGGAGCAAACAGGAUUAGAUACCCUGGUAGUCCACGCCGUAAACGAUGAGUGCUAAGUGUUAGAGGGUUUCCGCCCUUUAUUGCUGAAGUUAACGCAUUAACACUCCGCCUGGGGAGUCGGCCGCAAGGUUGAAACUCAAAGGAAUUGACGGGGGCCCGCACAAGCGGUGGAGCAUGUGGUUUAAUUCGAAGCAACGCGAAAAACCUUACCACGUCUUGACAUCCUCUGACUUCCCUAAAGAUAGGGCUUCUCCUUCGGGAGCAUAAUGACAGGUGUGGCAUGGUGGUCUCCACCUCUUGUGUUGAGAGGUGGGGUUAAGUCCCCCACCAAGCGCACCCCUUGAUCUUAGUUGCCAUCAUUUAGUUGGGCACUCUAAGGAGACUGCCGGUGACAAACCGGAGGAAAGUGGGGAUGACAGUCAAUCAUCAUGGCCCUUAUGAGCUGGGCUACACACGUGCUACAAUGGACGGUACACAGAGAUGCGACACUCCGAGAUGGAGCUGAUCUCAUAAAAUCGUUCUCAGUUCGGAUUGUAGUCUGCGACUCGCCUACAUGAAGCUGGAAUCGCUAGUAAUCGCGGAUCAGCAUGCCCGCGGGAAUAACCUUUCCCGGGCCUUGUACACACCGCCCGUCACACCACGAGAGUGUGUGACACACGAAGUCGGUGGCGUAACCUUCUUGGAGGCGCCUCCUCAUGUGGAUAAUAUUGGUGAAAGGGGAGGGGUUUAUUAAAAAUAAAAAAAAAGGGGGGGAAGACCCGGGU